rnacentral:rRNA from 1 species
CCUACGGGAGGCUGCAGUGGGGAAUAUUGCACAAUGGGCGAAAGCCUGAUGCAGCAACGCCGCGUGAAUGAAGAAGGGUUUCGGCUCGUAAACUUCUAUCAACAGGGACGAAAGAAAUGAUGGUACCUGAAUAAGAAGCCCCGGAUAACUACGUGCCAGCAGCCGUGGUAAGACGUAGGGGGCAAGCGUUAUCCGGAAUUACUGGGUGUAAAGGGUGAGUAGGCGGCAUGGUAAGCCAGAUGUGAAAGCCUUGGGCUUAACCCGAGGAUUGCAUUUGGAACUAGCAAGCUAGAGUGCAGGAGAGGAAAGCGGAACGCCUAGUGUAGCGGUGAAAUGCGUAGAUAUUAGGAAGAACACCGGUGGCGAAGGCGGCUUUCUGGACUGAAACUGACGCUGAGGCACGAAAGCGUGGGGAGCGAACAGGAUUAGAUACCCCUGUAGUC